rnacentral:rRNA from 1 species
GAACGCUGGCGGCAUGCUUUACACAUGCAAGUCGAACGGUAACAGGCCUUCGGGUGCUGACGAGUGGCGAACGGGUGAGUAAUACAUCGGAACGUGCCCGAUCGUGGGGGAUAACGAAGCGAAAGCUUUGCUAAUACCGCAUAAGAUCUACGGAUGAAAGCAGGGGACCGCAAGGCCUUGCGCGAACGGAGCGGCCGAUGGCAGAUUAGGUAGUUGGUGGGAUAAAAGCUUACCAAGCCGACGAUCUGUAGCUGGUCUGAGAGGACGACCAGCCACACUGGGACUGAG